rnacentral:rRNA from 1 species
ACGCUCGACACCUACGGGAGGCAGCAGUGGGGAAUAUUGCGCAAUGGAGGAAACUCUGACGCAGUGACGCCGCGUAUAGGAAGAAGGUUUUCGGAUUGUAAACUAUUGUCGUUAGGGAAGAGAAAGGACAGUACCUAAGGAGGAAGCUCCGGCUAACUACGUGCAAGCAGCCGCGGUAAUCUGAGCGGGCUGGCAAGGC